AGAUGGGAGCUUGUGUCUUAAGAAGUGGGAAGCUCUGCUGAAACCCACUUUCCCCUGAUUUUAGUCUCUUCGGUUAUCUUCCUGUUUAAAGGAUAGGAGGUGCUAAAGCCCAGCUUCUCCUUUAUAGGGACCUACGUUCCACUCUAGCCAGGUACUCAGAUACACUGAAGGAUUUUGACCCAAGAGCUGAGGAUUUUGCAGCUGAUUUCUCACCUGGGACAUACGGCAUUAACACCUCAAUAACUUCAGCUCCCAGUGAGCUGUCAAAGGUGUUCUCAGCCCAGAAAGUUUUUCUGUUUUCUUUCCAUCUGUAGCAGUUGAUGGGAGAAGCAGGUGGUUUACCAGUUGGUCGUGCUCACCUUGUAAACUUUGUUCCUCUUCCACAUCAAGUCAUUCAUGACACUUGGCCUUUGAUUUGUCAUCACCUUCUCAUUCUGGAAAACUUAAAUAAACCCUGGACCCAACAGAAGGGAACCACUGAGCUGCCUGGAUGCUGAACUGCGGUGGCAGAUGCUUAAACAGGAGGUACAGGAGCUAAGGUUGUAAUGAAUCAUAUAGGAAAUGUGUUGUUAAAAGUAGAAGAAAAUCUACCUGACUUGAUGAAGGUUUGAAUCACAAAGCUCAGCCACUGCUAUGGACUUCUUAACCAGAAACCAAGAAGAUAAUCAUCUUGAGAGCCAACAACAGCUUCACGCAUCACCUCGGAAAAGCAUCACCUCUGAAAAAACACUUAUCUGGACAAAGAGUAGCUGAAGUCAAAACGUUCUGAUGAGAUAAAGCAUGAAAAUAUUCAAGAAAGUGAAAGGAACUGCUGGAUGGAAACAUCACAGAGCUAGCCCACCACAUCUCUCACCAUCAAACAGCGACAGGUAGCUGGACAAUAAUCUCAUCAAGUGCAAAAGAAAACAAUGGAAGCACUAAAAGCAGCAACACAACUAGGAUGCUGAUGGAGAUUUUAAGAUUGGUGGUAAGCAAACAGUUUAUGCAAUUUUUAUUCAAUAUUGUAAUUCAAUUAUAUAAUUUUAUUCAAUACUUAGGACUGAAGUACUGUUAAGUACAGAAGAGAUCACCAGUGUGCUGAGUACCUGAGAGGCACAGCAACAGUGAUAUAAUUGCAUGCGGGAAAGGAAAUAAUUUCUCAUGUCUCUCCUUAGGUAAGAAAUUACAGGUAUCAUCACUAUUCAGGUUCAUUCUUUUAUCACAUGGAGAUCUCAACCACCCUUCUGCCAAAGCCUGCGGAAUUAUUCUGUGAUAUGCUUUCUCACCCAAACCAUAUAAAUACACCCCAUUUCUGGGGAGGUAUCAAGUAUUAAAAGUUGAUCCCUAAAAUAAAUAAAAAUCAAAGACUUCAAACUUUAGCAAAAUCCACAAACUGAAGCACCUGACCACUGAGCUAUACAUCUAGGAACUUCAUGGGUACCUUGGUGGAUAUCCAAACAUCAAAAUUAAAAACCUGGGGAGUCAGAGAGGAAACAGGCAGAAAAUAAAAGGCAAAUGCAUUUCAAAUGGAUAAGAAAGGAAGAUGGAAUACUUCUUUUGCUUUUAUGCAGACAUAAACCCACGGAUUUAGAGGAUUACAGUAUGUAUCUUUAUCAUAGCUGAACAAUCUACUUCAGCUGUGCAAAAAGCAGGCAAUUCAAAAAUUCCUCCAAUUAGGGACAUAAAAGGCAGGUAAUUUCAAGCUGUUUAACAAGAAUUUCUGUAACACCUACACCAGUGCUAAGUAGUAAUAUUUUGUAAAUGUUGUCAGAAACGUGCCUUUGGAGACUCCCAAAUCUUAUGAUCAGAAAUAUCUGAGGCCACCAGCCAUGAGUGUUUUAAUAGAGUAAGUCUGUACUUCCCUACCAAGACUCAAGUCUGGUGACAUGCAAUGGAAACCCUGAGUCAGCCGGUCCAUUAUAUACGGCUCAGCUGGCAUCAGCUGUAGUUCUUUACACAGAGGAGUUCUCAAACCCUCCUUUUAGAGUUUAGAAAGAAAUAACCCUGCAGAUGAAGUUUAGACUGAUUCAUCUGGUUUUCUGAACAACAUUCUAAAAAUAACAGCUAGAUGGUGUGUUUCUGGUACUGUCUCAUCUUUUUUCUUCUACCAAUUAUCAAUCAAAACUCAGCUUCAGAACUGUAACACAUUUAUGUAACAACUGUCACCAUUUGUUACCAGUUCUUUCACAUGAUGCAAUAUUUAAAAAAAAAAACAAACCACAAUCCAACAUUAACAGGCAAGACUCUUUCUUAUGGUCUUACUGUUCCUGCAUGUGUACAUAAGGUAAAACUGUUGUAGAUUUUUGUCAUUAACUCUGAUGCCAUGAGUCAGUAUUUUAUAGGCACCAUACUAGUGCAAAACACAUUAGCACUAACAUAGGCUACCCUCCUGACAAAGUGUUUACUCCACUUCAGCCUGCUUGACUGAGUUCUGACCUUCAUUUGUCUUUGUUUCUCUGUCUACUUAAUGCAUUUUCAGCUAUCAUCAUCUCACUUCAAGUGCAACGUUUAUUAUUUGGAGCUCUCUGUGGGCUGUUUUAAGAGUUAGUCGUCUCCUGUUUCUAUUAUAUAUUCCAUUUAAUUAAGUAUAAAGCAUCCUUCUUCUUUGUUGACUCAUCAAUGACAAAGUAGCUCACCUUUUAGAGACUGAAGAAUAGAGAGCACCUUACAUAUGUUAGAAAAAGAUAUUUCAUCUUGAGAGAAAAAAUAUUUUUGUUGAUAUUGGAAGAUAUUCUAGGGCCAGUUCCAAUAACA